GCCUUGCUAGCUCAAUCGGUAGAGUGUGAGACUCUCACAUUCAGUCCUUAGCAGGCCAAAAUGGCAGAAUAAUCUCAAGGUUGGGGGUGUUCGACCCCCUCGUGGGGCU